CCUACGGGGGGCUGCAGUGAGGAAUAUUGGUCAAUGGGCGCGAGCCUGAACCAGCCAAGCAGCGUGAAGGAUGACUGCCCUACGGGUUGUAAACUUCUUUUAUAAGGGAAUAAAGUGAGGUACGCGUACCUUUCUGUAAGUACUUUACGAAUAAGGAUCGGCUAACUCCGUGCCAGCAGCCGCGGUAAUACGGAGGAUUCGAGCGUUAUCCGGAUUUAUUGGGUUUAAAGGGUGCGUAGAUGGGGUGUUAAGUUAGUUGUGAAAGUUCGCGGCUCAACUUCGGAAUUGCCUUUGAUACUGGUCGGCUAGAGAGUAGUUGCGGUAGGCGGAAUGUAUGGUGUAGCGGUGAAAUGCUUAGAGAUCACAAAGAACACCGAUUGCGAAGGCAGCUUACCAAGCUACUUCGGACGUUGAGGCACGAAAGCGUGGGGAGCAAACAGGAUUAGAUACCCCAGUAGUC
rnacentral:rRNA from 1 species